rnacentral:rRNA from 1 species
GACGAACGCUGGCGGCGUGCUUAACACAUGCAAGUCGAACGGAAAGGCCUCUUUCGGGGGGUACUCGAGUGGCGAACGGGUGAGUAACACGUGAGUAACCUGCCCUUGACUUUGGGAUAACUUCAGGAAACUGGGGCUAAUACCGGAUAGGAGCUCCUGCUGCAUGGUGGGGGUUGGAAAGUUUCGGCGGUUGGGGAUGGACUCGCGGCUUAUCAGCUUGUUGGUGGGGUAGUGGCUUACCAAGGCUUUGACGGGUAGCCGGCCUGAGAGGGUGACCGGCCACAUUGGGACUGAGAUACGACCCAGACUCCUACGGGAGGCAGCAGUGGGGAAUAUUGCACAAUGGGUGGAAGCCUGAUGCAGCAACGCCGUGCGCGGGAUGACGGCCUUCGGGUUGUAAACCGCUUUCGCUCAUGACGAAGCUUUGUGUGACGGUAGUGGGUAAAGAAGCACCGGCUAACUACGUG